rnacentral:tRNA from 1 species
AGUAGAGUCAGCUAAUU